GACGAACGCUGGCGGCGUGCCUAAUACAUGCAAGUCGAGCGAAGUUUUUCUGGUGCUUGCACCGGAAAACUUAGCGGCGAACGGGUGAGUAACACGUAAAGAACCUGCCUCAUAGACUGGGACAACUAUUGGAAACGAUAGCUAAUACCGGAUAACAGCAUUAACUGCAUGGUUGAUGUUUAAAAGGGGCAAAUGCUUCACUAUGAGAUGGACCUGCGUUGUAUUAGCUAGUUGGUAAGGUAACGGCUUACCAAGGCGACGAUACAUAGCCGACCUGAGAGGGUGAUCGGCCACACUGGGACUGAGACACGGCCCAG
rnacentral:rRNA from 1 species